rnacentral:rRNA from 1 species
CAUAUCAAUAAGCGGAGGAAAAGAAACUAACAAGGAUUCCCCUAGUAACUGCGAGUGAAGCGGGAAAAGCUCAAAUUUAAAAUCUGGCAGUCUCUGGCUGUCCGAGUUGUAAUCUAGAGAAGUGUUAUCCGCGCUGGACCGUGUACAAGUCUCCUGGAAUGGAGCGUCAUAGAGGGUGAGAAUCCCGUCUUUGACACGGACUGCCAGGGCUUUGUGAUGCGCUCUCAAAGAGUCGAGUUGUUUGGGAAUGCAGCUCAAAAUGGGUGGUAAAUUCCAUCUAAAGCUAAAUAUUGGCGAGAGACCGAUAGCGAACAAGUACCGUGAGGGAAAGAUGAAAAGAACUUUGGAAAGAGAGUUAAACAGUACGUGAAAUUGCUGAAAGGGAAACGCUUGAAGUCAGUCGCGUUGGCCAGGGAUCAACCUUGCUUUUGCUUGGUGUACUUUCUGGUCGACGGGUCAGCAUCAAUUUCGACCAUUGGAAAAAGGUCAGGGGAAUGUGGCAUCUUCGGAUGUGUUAUAGCCCUUGGUUGUAUACAAUGAUUGGGAUUGAGGAACUCAGCACGCCGCAAGGCCGGGUUUUUUUUAACCACGUACGUGCUUAGGAUGCUGGCAUAAUGGCUUUAAUCGACCCGUCUUGAAACACGGACCAAGGAGUCUAACAUGCCUGCGAGUGUUUGGGUGGAAAACCCGAGCGCGCAAUGAAAGUGAAAGUUGAGAUCCCUGUCGUGGGGAGCAUCGACGCCCGGACCAGACCUUUUGUGACGGUCCUGCGGUAGAGCAUGUAUGUUGGGACCCGAAAGAUGGUGAACUAUGCCUGAAUAGGGUGAAGCCAGAGGAAAACUCUGGUGGAGGCUCGUAGCGAUUCUGACGUGCAAAUCGAUCGUCAAAUUUGGGUAUAGGGGGGCGAAAGGACUAAUCGAACC